rnacentral:lncRNA from 1 species
UCAUUUCCGUCACCUUCAAUUUUUGGAUGUGAAUGUGCUUAACUGGAUAACACUCCGCUCUAUACAACAUGGCCGAACGAACUACUACUCUAUAGAAUUUGCCUUUAAGCUUAAGGGGAACUUUCUUAUCGCACAACACUCCCGAGGUGAGCCUCCACUUCAUCCAACCUGCUCCAAUACGGUUAGAAACAUCCUUAUCAAUCUCACCAUCCCCUUGGAUCAUAGACCUAAGGUACUUAAAACUAUCCCUCUUACACACAUCCUGGGAGUCCAACCUCACCAC